GACGAACGCUGGAGGCGUGCUUAACACAUGCAAGUCGAACGAUGAAAUGGAGCUUGCUCCAUGGAUUAGUGGCGAACGGGUGAGUAACACGUGAAUAACCUGCCCUUAAUUUUGGAAUAACCCAGGGAAACCUGGGCUAAUACCGGAUAAGUAAACCUGUGGCAUCACAUGGUUUUGGAAAGUUUUUCGAUUAGGGAUGGAUUCGCGGCCUAUAAGCUUGUUGGUGAGGUAAUGGCUCACCAAGGCGACGACGGGUAGCCGGCCUGAGAGGGUGAACGGCCACACUGGGACUGAGACACGGCCCAGACUCCUACGGGAGGCAGCAGUGGGGAAUAUUGCGCAAUGGACGAAAGUCUGACGCAGCGACGCCUCGUGAGGGACGAAGGUCUUCGGAUUGUAAACCUCUUUCAGCAGGGACGAAGCGAAAGUGACGGUACCUGCAGAAGAAGCACCGGCUAACUAUGUGCCAGCCGCCGCCGUAA
rnacentral:rRNA from 1 species